GGAAGCGCAAGGCCCUGGGUUCGGUCCCCAGCUCCGAAAAAAAGAACCAAAAAAGAAAAAAAAACACUGAAGAUGUUUUUUACAAGAUACCUGUGAUGGUUAGUGUUAAUUGUUAACUCGACAUAAUAUAGAAUCACGUGGGUAGAGUAGAUUAUAUCUACUGGUUAGCCUGUGGACAUGUCUUUGCGGAUUGUCUUAAGUUAACUGGUAUGUAUGAACCAAUCUACUGUGGGAGGCACCAUUUUCUUCAGAGGUCCUGAGUGAAAACAGGAAAAAUGUGAAAUCAAGCUGGGCAUAAGCAAGCAAGUUAGCUUAUAUGUAUUCAUUUCUCUGCUCUUGACUGUGGCUGCAAUGUGGUUAGCUGUUUGAAAUUCCUGCCUUGACAUCUCCAGAAUGAUGAACUGUUAACCUGGAAUUUUGAGCUGGAGUAAGUCCCUUUCUCCCCUAAGUUGCUUUUUGUUGAGGUAUUUUUUUCACAGCAGCAGAAAUGGAACUAGAAUAAUACCAUACAUGUGGAGGUUAGUACACUGUAUUACGUUCUCCAUAAGAUAGGAUCAACACCAUGCAUACACACACACACACACACACACACACACACACACACACACGUGUGUGUGUGUGUGUGUGUGUGUAUUUAUAUCCUGUGUGUGUGUGUAUCUUUAUCCUGAAUAUUAUGAAAGAAGAGACUGUGGGAUUUAUCUUUAGAUAGAUAAAUAUGUGUAUAAGCGAUAGAUAGAUAGAUAGAUAGAUAGAUAGAUAGAUAGAUAGAUAGAUAGAUGGAUGGAUGGGUAGGUAGAUGAUAGAUGAACAGGGAUUUUUUUAAAAAAGCGUAACUUGUUCACAAAAUUUUGGAGAGUUAUAAGAGCCAUAAUAGGUAACUUGUUGCCUAGAGAAACAGAGAAGGUGGUCCAAGGCCAGCUGAACCCAGAGGCAGAAGACAGCAUAAACCUCAAUACAUGGUAAACAUGAGAACUGGGUCAGGGCUGGAGGAGCUCUGGAGUCUGAAGCUUGCAAACCCCAGAGUUCUGAUACCCAAGAGCAAGAGAAAAAUGGCGUCCCAGCUCCGGAAGGCUGAGAGACUCCAACUUUCUUCUACCUUUUAGUUCUGUCUGUAUUCCUAGACAACUGGAUGCUAUCCACUCACGCUGAGGGUGGUUCUUCCUCACUGAGAACCUGGUUUACACACUACCUCAUCCAGGACGAGUUCUCCCACCCAGAAAAAAUGCUCUGAUAGCUAUCUUGGUGUCCCCGAAUCCAGUCAAGUGAACACCUAAAACAAACCAUCACACAGACUAUGUUCACCUCAAAUAGAAAACAAAUGGUUGACUGAUUCUCUAAAAAUUGAUCCAAUAGACAAAAAAAAGUCAAGAAGGUUUAUUUACUGUCUGAACUAUUGAUUUUGGACUGAGGAAGACGUAGUAAAUUUCUCCUGGAAAAUGCUUGUGCAGAGGGUGACGUGAUUAUGAAGGCGGAAGACGAUGUUGUAUUGUUAUCUUAUGUGUGUACCAAUGCACAGACACCACUUACAGAAGGGAAUUUGUAAGUGAUUCCAGUGCGCCCCAAGUCAGUACAAGCAGUCUGCCUUCCACCUCUGCCCCCAGCAGCGUCUCCUCAGGACGCUGUAGAACACACUGCAUCUCAGAGUCACCUCUAUUUUGUGGAAGGGAAAAGAGCUUCACACAAUAUUCGUGUUUUCAAGGCACAGCACACUUGAGGUUUCUUUGAUAACUUCCCCAAUCAUCUUUUCCCCAAUACAAUUAGUAUUAUCUAAAUUAGUUAUCAGUUUACCAAAUUGUAUCCUCUGUUUUUAAAAAGUCAUAUUGCAAAAUUAUAGGUGUAACCACAGACAGAACCAGCAUUGUGUGCUCGCAGACAUUUGGAGAGAGAUAAUGUUCUUAAUCCUAAUUAGAAUCCCUUCCCUUUCCUAUAGGGCCUCUCAGAAUCAGGGUGACCUUAUUUUCCUUUGGAGAGGAGCGUGGUAAAUCAACGACUUUCAUUUGUCUUGUAACACAGCAUCUCCUAUUGAAAGGUGUUUGUGUAAACUCUGGGCCUUUUGCUGUCUUUCUGUGUUAAGGUGUCCUUUAAAAGUAUCCAUUGGAAACAGACUGCCUUCUAGUGCUGUCUCUGUAAUACUAUCUUUCGUAUCAUUCUUAGAAUUAUAACUUUUCUGGCAGAGUGCUCCACAUAGAUCAGAAAGCCCCUGCUUGGUCAGAAUUCGUUCUACCUUUCUUUCCCAGUCCUGCUGUUUUAAUAAAAGAUUUGAUACCAGUUAGAUUUUGUCAGCAUUCCUUGAAUCUACAUAAGCUGUGUGACUACGUAUGGACCAAUGCCCUAACUUCUGGGAUAUUUGCCUUCAUAGACAAGUCAUCUGCUCUGGGACAUCCUCUCUUUCCCAUGCCCCUGAGGCAGAGUGUGGACAGGAUCAUGAGUCAGUUUUGACUGUAGGAAAGAACAUUACAAAACAAGAUGGAUUCCUGAGGGAUUGUACAGAAACGAACCAUCCCUCAACCAAAUGAGGCUGCAUUCAGGACUGUUUUCUCCAAGCCACUGAAGGUCAAGAAUGCAGCUGAGAGAAGAACUUGGAGCUGUGCCAACAAGGCAGCCAUGACGUCCAUCCGGCCCAGGACCUCCCUUCUCUGGUCUUCUACGCAGGCCUCUUCACACCAGGGGCCUGUUCUGAAGCACCGUAGUUUCUAGGUUCACAGUUUUUAGCUCCCGGGCCACCAUUCAUGCUCCGCUCUGGCCAGUCUUCUGGUUAUGUUGGGUGGUGGCGAGGGCUUCGCAUAGAGAUCUCAAACUGCAAUGUGGUCUCGAUAGGCAGCGCUGUGGAGGGCUCUCCCCUUAAAUUUCCCACGUCGCACAUGCUCGUCUUGUUCAUGCAACCCAACGUCAGGGGUGAAGCUUCAAGUCCUUCGGCAGUGCCUGUGGUCCUUACCUCACUGCCCAACAGUCGUUUGCCUCUGUUUCUCCAGACUGAAUUCCUUCAAGGUUGGAGCUCGUGGUUAACCAUUGUCAAACCUCAGGUCUGCUAUUCUAGAACUUGGAGGAUAGCUGGCGUGAUGCAUGUUUUUUGAGUGAAUAAAUGGCAGAAGGAGCCUGCUCGCAGAAGACUCGCUGUGGCCGCUGGGGCUAGAACCUUCCACAGCCCAAGAAGUUCAUGACUCUGGAUUUUUUUUUUCUUUCUAAUUUCUAGUCAGAGAACAAAAAUUUCAAAAAGACCCCGAAGUGUCUAAAUGAGUUUGUUGCAAAGAAAAUAAAUAGAUUAAUUCAUUAAUUCGAGUCCAACGGUCAUAUCUCACAGGACUGUUUUGUUUCCUGGUGAGGACAAAAUUACAUUGAAGAAGAGAGAAAAUGUUAGGGCUGGCAGCGUUUUACACAAACUCUCUCAGCCUGUGUUUUCACAAGUUUGCUGAUAUAACUGCCGAGCUCCUGUCCGUAGUUAAAAUAAAGGCCUUGGAUCAGCGAGAGAUGAGCAAGAGACUCCCAGUCAGAAGUUUGCUUAGAGAUUUCAAUUGUUCUUUGGGUUUCUAGAUUUUGUGUGAUUCAAAAAAAAAAAAAAAGUUUGCUCAAGGAAAUUAAACUGAGAACAAGUCUGAUGGCAUUAUAGAUAAAGUCUUGGCAGAACACUCAGGAGUUCUGACUUUAAAGACUCAGGAGGGAGUUUUGCUAAUCUUGACAUUAAAAAAUACAUCUCAGGGGGUAAUUUAAAAGGUAAAUUGAAUGUCAUUGUAGAAGCAUAGCCUUGCACUUUCCUUACAAACACUCUCGUCACGUGUGCCAUCAGAUGAAAGAACAUUUGUUAACACAUUUGUAAAUAAAAACGUUCAUGUA
rnacentral:sRNA from 1 species